ACAUACCUAAACCCUCAAUUUCACAACUAUUUGCUAUGUUAUACGUUAUAAACACAUUUCUGAACAAGAAUUAGUUCAAAAAGGAAAGGGGAAAAUUCCCAUCAGCUGGUUUUAUGAGGUCUUUGUUCUAACACCGGAAGUCCAGGCAGCGACAUUUUGAGGAGGGAUGAGGUGGGGGAUUCUCGAAGCUACACCAGAGCUAACGGCUAAAAGGCCAACAACCAUCCUCCGGUAUCAACUAUGUAUUUUACAUCAAACGAACAAGAUCUCGUUAUACGUGCUGUGAAGAACAUCCUACCAGUGUGCAGUGAAACCCUGAAGGACGAGAUGAAACUUGUUCCAGCUCUUUGAAACCCGCGCAGGAUGUUUUUUUUGUCUCAUUCUCACAAGUCUAGACUCAACAUUCCUUGCUCUUAGUUCACCACACAAGUAACAGAUUCUUUACAUCUUGAACUAUCAUUCAUAAGUAAUGUCGGAUAAAUGACAAAUUCACUUCCAGGAAAUGUUAAAUCUGUACCUCUAAGAAAUGUAUGUUUUCAUUUGAACAUAAUGUUUUGAUGUUUUGCUAAAUUAAACAUAAAAAAACAGGUGAUAUCUAUAAUACCAAUGCUAACUAAUGCUUUCUAUGUUACACAAUAGUUUUGAAAUUCUGACACCAAAUAAUUAGCUGUAAAAUACUGCAAAUGUACAGAGUUAGGUAAAACUACUGUACUAAAUUUUAAUAUCAUAUUGUGGACCACACUUUUUUUCUGAAAGAUCAGUGCAAGGUUAUUUAUCAUACCUUGCACUGGUACGAUAAAUUAUAUUAUAAUUUACUGUAAUGGAAAAAAAACCCUCCUCAAAUUGGUGAAAAUCACAAUUUCUAAAUGCAAUACGCCUCAUGCAACGUUUUUGUAUGUGCCAAUAUUUUACAGUAAAAGUCUUAUUUUUG